AACGCGUAGGUAAUCUACCCUUAUAUUUGGGAUAACAUUGGGAAACUGGUGCUAAUACCGGAUAGUCUUUUUUUAAUGCGAGUUAGAGAGAGUAAAGGUGGCCUCUUCAUGAAAGCUACCGCAUAGGGAUGAGCCUGCGUACCAUUAGCUAGUAGGUGGGGUAACGGCCCACCUAGGCUACGAUGGUUAGCGGGUCUGAGAGGAUGAUCCGCCACACUGGAACUGGAACACGGACCAG
rnacentral:rRNA from 1 species